rnacentral:misc_RNA from 1 species
GAAAUGCGAUAAGUAAUGUGAAUUGCAGAAUUCAGUGAAUCAUCGAAUCUUUGAACGCACAUUGCGCCCGCUAGUAUUCUAGCGGGCAUGCCUGUUCGAGCGUCAUUUCAACCCUCAAGCCUCCGGGCCUGGUGUUGGGGACCUGCCGGCACCCGCCGGCAGCCCCCGAAAUAUAGUGGCGGUCCCGCUGUAGCCUCCUCUGCGUAGUAGUACACCUCGCUCUGGGACUCGGCGGUGGCCAGGCCGUUAAACCCCCCACUUCUCAAGGUUGACCUCGGAUCAGGUAGGAAUACCCGCUGAACUUAA